UAUUGUUUCAUUGUGCAGGCUCCAAGUCAGAAGGUGUUCACCUGUGUUUGGUUUAAGCACAAUUUUGUACGGGAGCGAACUAUUUCGCUUUUACGAGGCAAGGCUUAGUUUUCUUGCAGCUCUGGCAAACCAGCAAUGAAGGCACUAAUCCUCGCAGUCGUUAUUAUUGUUGCAACUGACUCGACGCUCAUACUUGCAACAAAUGACUGCAAUGAACCACCCGGCGGAUGUCCGAGGGGUGUGAAAGGUGCUCAAGAAAUUUGGCUUCAAAGAAGGAAUCAAGCCUUAUGUUACAAAAUCAGGACGCCAGGCUGCAAAGGACAUGGAUUUUCAAGGUUGUUUGACUGUUAUAACUGGUGCAUUAGCGGUGACUAAGAUGUAUAAAAAUUUCAGAUACAAUAAGUGCCUGAUACGUUACGUGUCCUAUAUCUACAUUCAUUCUAAGUUACGGCAUAUAACCUUAAUUCACAAUUAACACAUUGGUACAAAUAAGUUGCCCUAUAACGUUUUACUGAAGAUGCAACGACAUGUAGGUGCAACAGAAAAAUGACUUUGCUUUCAUUUUCGGAAAGUAAAACAGCCUUGUACAGCAUUUCGUUUUCUCUCAGAAAACUGUCUAUACAAAAGGGGAUACCAUAUACUAUGCUGAACAAAAGAUUACAGAUUCGGUAUUUAAAGCUUAAACUAGACAUAAUGAAGUACACAUGUAAAGGUUUGUGCAUAGCAAUAUUGUACAAAAUAACUAUAUAAAAAUAUUUCUGGACUCCUCUUGUCACUUGAAAAAGAGCUAGCGUAAUAGCAUAUAAGAAAUUUUAUGAUGACGAUCCUAAGCAUACGUUUCUAUUAACUGAAACUGUCCGUGCUGCUAAGUGGUUUAUUAUUAAAAGGAAGCUUUAUCUAUUGA